AUUAUUUACUCCGCAGCGCUGCUCUCACUGGAGUGCUCUGGCCCUUUUUUUUCCUCCACGCUUUUCCCCCCCGAUAAUAAAUAACCCCCACGGGUCUUUACAUCUGCUUAUCACUCCUGCCACGGUAAUCUAACACAGACGUUUGUUGGGCCUGACAUUUAUACAGAAGACACGGAGAACAUUCCCUUUUCUCAUCCUGGAUCUGCUCCAGUCUGCUGUGCAAAGGCCCCGUGGCAACGUACGUCAUUAAAGCAGAGUAAAGUGUGCACGGCGCUUUGGUAUUUGAGAAAACGUUCAUCAACUGAUUGCAAUCAUCUAAACGCGCGAAAGGCAAAUGGAAGAAGUCCCAAGGCACUACACAGUAACCAAACUGACCCCCCCCCCCCUGUUGCACCCAUAUACAGUAAGCAGUAAGCAUGGGUUGAAAUGUAUUUGUAGACGUAAUAUGUCUUCAUGGAGCCAAACAGGAAACUAGCAAAUGCCAUUAAAUGAAUCUACUCUGUUAAAAUAUUCUGUGAGUGCUCAAACUGUGUUGCCGUACUGCUGAGAGUUAAAUAUCUAAAUCUAUGGAUUUAAUCCAUUAACCCUCGGGGAACGACCACACCUCUUAGGAGAGGGCGUCAGAGGGUCAGUCACUGCAAAUCUUCCUCCUGUCACGGAGAAAAGACAUAACUGGAAGAGAGAAAGAGACCAGCUCUUUUCUCCUCACCUGCGUGCUUCUCAUCUUUAGCUUCAACAGCAGUCGCCCGCUGAGUGUCUGAUGUACUUCUUUGACCCCUGUAAGCGUUCUGAACCCCCCCUCUGAUCGUCACAUUGCACACAGCUCAAAGGGUUGCACGUGGAGAUAACGACACAUGGAGGGCCGGAAAAAAACAGAAAACAUGCAGGACUCGUUUCUUGGGAUUAGAUAACUCUCCCCCAUAGGAGUUUCAGCACAUGGUAAGCUCAAAGAGCCGAGUCGAAGAGAAUUCUGCAGCUGGAAAUGUAAAAUAUGCUCCGCCUGAGGAAUUCCAUGUCAGCAGAGAACCUCAGCUCAAGUGAAAAACUUUGAGAGUGGUAUUUACACUCAACACGU
ensembl:lncRNA